rnacentral:pre_miRNA from 1 species
AAUAAGAAAAUGAUAGAUGAGAUUUUUUCCUCCUGAUUUUCAACUUUUUCCUCUUGACAAAAUUCAAAUCUUACUAAAAAUGCUAAAAUUCAAGAAUAAAAAUCUGAUUUGUCAUCCUCCUAUU